CAUGCCCAAGUCUGACAAAUUAGUUUUCCAGGUGGAAAAUCUUACUCGUAAGGCUCAACUUCAAGAAAUAGAGCUGGAACGAACUAAUAAGCAGCUGAAGGAGGCAAUAGCAAUUGCUGGGGAAGAAAGUGCAAAAUGCAAAGCUGCUAAAGAAGUAAUAAAGUCACUUACUGCUCAGCUGAAGGAAAUGGCGAAAGGCUUCCUGUUGGUGCUGCCAGAAACAUCAAAUCUCCUCCCUUGACUUCACUGGGUUCUAAUCCUAUCUCUGGUGAUGUUCCAAAUGCUUCUACUGACAAAUUGCAUGGUCCAGCAUCUGGCCUAGAGCUGGAAUCCAAUGGAGUAAAUAAUCAGUUACUUCCCAAUGGAUCUAGUACCAACAGUACUCGUAGUUCUGGUCACAACAAACAAGGGCAUUCAGAAGCAGCUGCAAGAAAUGGGGGCAGAACAAGAGAAGGUGAUUCUCGUAAUGAAAACGAAUGGGUGGAGCAAGAUGAACCUGGUGUUUAUAUCACACUUACCUCCUUACCUGGAGGUGCAAAAGAUCUUAAGCGAGUACGCUUCAGCCGGAAGCGGUUCAGCGAGAAGGAAGCAGAACUUUGGUGGGCAGAAAAUCGGGCAAGAGUAUAUGAACAGUACAAUGUACGCAUGGUUGACAAGUCAAGCAUUGGUGUAGGAAGUGAGGACUUAGCACAUUGACAUGUCGAUACAUCAUAUGUAUAUGCUGUCUCUUUUCUUUACCUUUUCUACGUUACUUCCAGUCAUAUAGGGAAGAUCACAUUGAUUGGUAGGAUUGGCUUUCUUUUCACUAAGCGUUGGAAGCAAAAAGUUUGCCUUACCAGGAUAGAGCAGUAGAGGUUGCUAUUGGGCUUUAUCGAGUCCCCUGUUUUUGGUUCUUUUUCUUCCUUUUUUACCUUCACCUCUUUUCCCCUUUUAUUAUUUUUUGGCUUGACUAUGCUGUUUCAUUUUUUCUCCCAGAUGACACAAUGUGUGGGGGAUGAGGGUGAGAAAUGUAAAGUUCUAGUAGGCUGCUGGCUCUUGUUGGGAGCAGCUUCCUUGUAAAUUCCACAAGCAAAUGUAUCUUUAAUUUCCUUGCUCAUCUUUCUCCUUCACUUCAUGUGGUUUAGUUGCAGGUGUUGUAUGGUUAUUGCUGUUCCUUGUGAAAUUUCUCUUUUUGAUUAUAUUCGGAGCGCCAUGAUGUCUGUAUUUAAUUAGCGGAAGGUUCAUGUACUGCACAGAAUCUGUCAUUUUGAAAGCAUACAGUAAGUGCAAAUAGUUUGCAAUAUUAUUUCUCA